UACAGAGGGUGCGAGCGUUGUUCGGAAUUAUUGGGCGUAAAGGGCGCGUAGGCGGUGCGGUAAGUCACCUGUGAAAUCUCCUGGCUCAACUGGGAGCUUGCAGGCGAAACUGCCGUGCUGGAGUGUGGGAGAGGUGCGUGGAAUUCCUGGUGUAGCGGUGAAAUGCGUAGAUAUCAAGAGGAACACCGGUGGCGAAGGCGGCUCUCUGGAACAAUCCUGACGCUGAGGUGCGAAAGCUAGGGGAGCAAACGGG
rnacentral:rRNA from 1 species